rnacentral:rRNA from 1 species
GACGAACGCUGGCGGCGUGCUUAACACAUGCAAGUCGAACGGAAAGGCCCUGCUUUUGUGGGGUGCUCGAGUGGCGAACGGGUGAGUAACACGUGAGUAAUCUGCCCUUGACUUUGGGAUAACUUCAGGAAACUGGGGCUAAUACCGGAUAGGAGCUCCUGCUGCAUGGUGGGGGUUGGAAAGUUUCGGCGGUUGGGGAUGGACUCGCGGCUUAUCAGCUUGUUGGUGGGGUAGUGGCUUACCAAGGCUUUGACGGGUAGCCGGCCUGAGAGGGUGACCGGCCAAUGUGGGAGGGAGAUGGGCCCGAGACCCCAGGGGGGGGAGGGGGGGGGGAAUUGGGCAAAGGGGGCGGAAGCCGGAUGCGGCAGCCCCGGGGGGGGGAUGAGGCCUUUGGGUUUGUAAACCGCUUGCGCCUGGGAAGAGGGGGGAGGGAGGGAAAGGGAAAAAAAAACCCGGGCAAACUACGUG